rnacentral:lncRNA from 1 species
GCAUGGCUACCCAACCCAAGAUGCCCAGAGAGGAGCCUAUGGAAGCUGGAGUCUGGCAGAGUGGACCCUGGCUUCAAGGAUGAAGAGUGGCUGCCCAGCACAUUGGUACAGACUCCCACCAUGGAAAAGGAAACACUUCUCUACACAGUUACAAAGGCCCAAGCAAAAAUAUACAGUGUAUGGUCUUUCUCCUGGAUGUUUGUCAGUUUUAUUCUUCUGACUUCGACCUUCGGCAGGAGCCAGCCAACACGGAAAAGCACACAAAGGAUCCACACCAUCCUUGGAAACAACAAACCAGAAUCUUUCCGCCAGCCUCCUGCUCAGAGAACCCUGGCUCUCACCUUUUUUCCUUGCAUAAACCUUCACAACCCUUCUAAGCGGCAUUUUCUGUUUCUCAGGGGCUAUUUACCUUGGUUUGCUCCAUGCUCCCCUGCACCGAUUCCAACCAGAGUGGCCACUAUUUUCCUACGAUUCAGGUUAGGAUGCUGCUCAGUUCUUACUUUUCUUGGAUUUUGGAAGCAUCUAACAGGGUCACUUGAGCAGCUAGUGCUGGUCUGGCACCUGGUAGGCAAAGAGGAGCAGAGGGGGGUAAGGGGUAGUCUGCUCCAGCGGUACUCUGCCAGUGUCAGUUCCAUCCUCACCCUCUACCCAACAUUCAGCCGCCACCUUUCCCCCUCAGUGGUUGGGUUAGGACUCACACCUACACCAUGCACUAUCCCUCCAUCAUCUUAACUCACUUGGUUGUAGGUGGUAGGUGUAGGUGAGAAGGUCUGAAGAUGCUUCUCUCGGCAGGCAAGACACAUUCCUUCAGGCUGCCUCUUCUGUCUUCUCUGGAGCAGUUAGUGCUCUAUCUUCCCUUACAUUUUUCUAGCAUGUUUAGUGGCUAACACAUAGAUUAAGCUAGAAGUUGCCAUUUUUUUCCUACAAAAGGAUAGAUCAUAGAUUUUUUUUCCAGCUUCUGUAGGCCUUGGGGUAUCUGUUUCCUCUAGUCAGCUCUGCUGUAGUAUGACAGCAGUCAUGGUCCCAUGUGGGAGUGACUGAUGCCAUCAUUGCAAACCGUAAGGCUGAUAGAAUCCAGUCUGAGAACAAACCUGUCCAUAGAACAAACAAGCUUUGUGCUUUGAUAGCUCUCUUUAUAAAAAAAAAAGCAGAAAAUAAAUUCAUCAUAUUAUUAUUGCUUUUUCUAGGAUAUCAACGUUGACUGUAUGUUUGUCUGACUUCCUCUGGUCCUAGAAUGAGCCGGGUUUCUUGUGAAUGCAGCUUCAAUUUGAUGAGCAUGUUGACACAUCACCUCUAAGGACUGGUGUUCCUUUUCAGUCCUGCUCAUAGAUUCCUUACAUGCCAACGGGGCAUGCGACAGUGGCUCUCAGAGCUGCCGACUUGGUAUUGGACUGUUCAUUUUUAAAGGCUGUUUUCUCUCAGAAGGUGGUUUUUUUUUUUUUUUUUUUUUUUUUUUUUUGAUGUCAACAUAAAUAGCGUUUGACAUUUCACAGUAGCGUUAGCAAUAACCACCCAGUGGAGGGUGGGCAGGAGAGGCAGCUGGACGUGUGGAGGAGGCCUGGUUUUGUGGGAUCCCAUGGUUAUUACUCUUAGUGGAAUAAGGAUUGUGGGAGCAAUCACCUCAUCUUUGGCUCCAUUUAGCGUCCAACAGGGAAGAUGUGAUCGAUCACCUCACGGGCCACAGAAGACUCUCCAGCACUGGGGAUGACUACAGUGCAUUCCCUGGAGGUGGUCUGACAGGAGUGUCUACCACGCGCCAAUCUACCUAGUGUGACCCAGUGACCUGCUCUAUUGCCGCUCGCUGCCAUAGGUGGGCUGUGCCUAUGUUCGUCACUGUAAACCAAGGGGAAAUCCUGGCAACUCUACCCAGCUCUCUGACAGCGGAAGUAGAUAAUUUGAUCAAAGCAAAGAGGGUCCCAGGUCUGCCUCAGCCGAGGCCCUUUAUUUACAGGCAGCUGGCGUCUCGCUCCCACCUCUGGAUGAGGCAGAAAAAUACCACAAUGAACGCACAUUUAUAUGCGUUGCCUGGAGUGUGGAAAAUCAGGAGAGAGACUUUCAGAGAGUAAGAACUUACACAUUAUGCCUCUGCAGUCACUUCAGGCUAUUUGGCUAAAACUCCUUCUGUGUAUAGGGAUAUAGGUUGGAUUUAACCCCAAAGUAAAUCUUUUACAUCCAAAAUUAAACACCGUGUAGGGCGGAAGAAUUUUUUUUUCGGAGAUUUUUAUACUCUGUAAUUUCUUGAAGGAGUUUCAUGCCUUAUUUUUUUUAGUCACUUCAAAACGUAUCGCAAGCUUAUGAAUUCUACCUUGGAUCUCCCAUUCCACCAUCUGGGACACGAACAGGACUGGAGGAGCCCCAGCGUGACAUUUCUGGGUAUUUUCUAAGUUGUUUUUUGUUGUUCACUUGGUGAGAUAUGGAGAGAGCAUAUGUAGGGUAGUGACUCAUCUCCAGGGAAGAUUUCUGGGGAUGCGAUGCCUUCAGUUUGUAGUUUCCCAGUUGUAACCUGCUGAAGCUUUCGCAGAGGAGACCGUCUUUGUUCUGUUUCAGACUUUCAGAUGAGUGACCCAAGAGCAGCUUUCUGAGCCCAAGUUCCCCUCUCAUUUUGGCUUUGUGUCACUCUCACUGUACCCCCCCCCAAUAUCCCUGGGCCUUACUCAUUAGUAUAUCACCCCAUUCAGGUAGCGGGGGAGCGACAGUCAGCUGAACACAACUCUCAGUUAGCACUGAGGCAUUAGGGUGUGUCCAAGUGAUUGGAUGUUAUUAAGUCCGGAAGAACGUGUCAAUGAAUAGACGGCCACAUGUGUCUUAGUGAUGGCAAAGGUUAAUUCAGGCAGCAUAAGCUGUUGAUGACAAGGACUAACUUUGUAGGAGAUUAAGGCCAGGGAUAUGUGCUACAGGCUUUGAUGUACAGGCAUCAUUCAGAAACCAGCCUUAAUUUACUAAAUGGUAAGGGAUCCGUGUACCCUUGCUUUAGAGAGUCCAUCCUUUAUGUUUGGCUUCAAAGCACCAAAGACAGGAAAUGUGUUUGAGAUGUAGAUUUCUUUCACAACAAAAUGAUAAUGUGAGAAGCUUGCACUUCUUCUUAGAUUGCAAUCGUAAGCAUUUAUUUUAGACUCAUAGCAUGGAAAACGGUGAAGUGUGAGAAACUGUCUUGUUUAGUUUAAGACUUUUUACACAGAUUUAUGUAGAGGUAUAUGUGCAUGUGUGCAUGUGUGUAUGAGUGUGCACAUACAUGUGUAUAUGUGCAUGUGUAUUUACUUGCCUAUGUGGGUGUAUGUGUGUGUUAGUGUAGAGAACAACUUGCAGAAGUUGAUUUUUUUAUUAAGUGGGUUCUAGGAAUCGAACGUGGUUGGCAGUAUUGACAGCAAGAAUCUGCUGGGUCUUCUGAGAGGCCCUGGUUUAACUGCAAUCCAUUACAAUGCUUGUGUUGGUAAAGUUUGUUGUCAACUUGACACAAGCUUGAGUCAUCUGUAAAAGGGAGUCUCAGUUGAAGGCUGGCUUGUGCGCAGGUCUAUGGAAUAUUUUCCCCAAUUAAUGACUGAUGUGGGAGGAGUCAGCCUGCUGUGGGCAGUGUCAUCCAUGGAAGAGUCAUGGAGAGAAUAAGAAGGCAGGCUGAACAAGCCACAGGGAGCAAGACAAUUAGUAGCAUCCUCCAUGGCCUCUGUGUCAGCUCCUGCUUUGAAUCUUUGUCCUGAUUUCCCUCCUUAAUGGUCUAUGACAUACAAGUGUAAUCCAAAUAAACCCUUUUCUCUCUGUGUUGCUUUUGGUCAGAAUGUUUUAUCACAGUGGUAGAAAGAAAACUAGGACAAUGUUCUUUGUCAGAAGUGUUGAUGCUACGUGGUUCAAGAAAAGACUCCAGGAUGGACGCAAACAUACACUGUAAUCCUAGUUUCAAAAAUCUAUCUUCAAUGGCAGGCUGAGUCAUAUGAAGUGGCUAUUUUGUACGUUGAAAUUAUUUGAAAUCAGCAAUUCUACAUGGUUCAAAAUGCCAAUGGCACAGGCUCAAUGGACAAGAGAAACUACAUAUGAAAUAUAUAUGGGUACGCAGAUAUGUGCAUAUGUGCAUGUGCACACACGUGGGAUUGGGUGACACAGAGACUGACACAGAGAGAGAGAGGGGAGGGGAGAAGGAAGGAGGGAGGGAGAGAGAGACUUAGUAAGCAUUCUUAAUGGUAACUAUGGGAAUAGGAUUUUAUCUUUUCCUCAUCUCUAUCUCUAGAGUGAGUGCUCCUCCCUUUCCCCUUUGAGUGCUGUACAAGUUCAGCCUUUCACAGUGAGGAGGAGCCUGCAGUGAGAGCGCACUUACACGAUGAUCUCUUAGUCACUUUAAGGACAUCGGGGCUCUGGUUUCCAGAGCCCUUUAGAAAUACCCAGAUUUGGAGAGAAGUGGGCCGGUUUCCUUUCCUUUCUGGCUAAAGUCUACCUUGUGCACACAAGGAUGGGGUACAAGUAGGCAUCCAAACCUAUCUGUGAAUGGUUUCCAAACUGAAUGCACGGGGGAGAGAUAACUAAUCGUUGCUUACCGACAUUCUGCAAUGCUGCCGAUUUCCCCUUAGUGAAACCGAUAGGCUUGUUCUCCGAAAAGCAGAUGGCUGGAUUAGAUAGCCAUAGGACAGGAAGGAGUAAAGAAGGAAAAUGAAAAAGCUGCUGGUUUGUUGAGAAGCACCUUCCUAAUUCUCCUGAAUGGGCACUUAGACUCUUGGGUAAAUGCCACACUUUGUAUAUUGUUAAGGAAAUAAAUCUAAAAGUUUAUUGUAUUUGAGUCCAUAGAUGGUCCAGAAUUUCCUAACGCACGUGUAUAAGGUUUUAUGUAUAUAUGUAUGUAUGUAUGUAUGUAUGUAUGUAUGUAUGUAUAUGUGUGUGUGUGUAUAUCAAAGAACGGAAGCAAGCUGAUUGGCUUCAGUUAGCAUUUGCCUCAUAUGGCCAUGGAGGGAUCUCUUAGCAGUUUGUGAUUGGAUGCGUAUCAAUUCACAAUGAUUGGCAGGGGCUCAACUCUGCACAAGAAUGUACUCUUCAGUUAGGCUGCAAUUUGCUCAUGGACUUAAUUAGGUUACAGCUUACUACAGACAGAGGUGGUUUCGGGUCCAAUUUUAGUACCCAAGUACCAAACUUUUCAACCUGAUAUGAAUUCCCGAAGGCCUUUUGGGCCCUUUCCUCCACAGGUUUCUGAU